rnacentral:rRNA from 1 species
UACGAAGGGGGCGAGCGUUGUUCGGAUUUACUGGGCGUAAAGGGCGCGUAGGCGGCCUUGUCAGUCAGGCGUGAAAGCCCCGGGCUCAACCUGGGAACGGCGCUUGGGACGGCGAGGCUGGAGUUCGGGAGAGGAGAGUGGAAUUCCCAGUGUAGAGGUGAAAUUCGUAGAUAUUAGGAAGAACACCAGUGGCGAAGGCGGCUCACUGGCCCGGUACUGACGCUGAGGCGCGAAAGCGUGGGGAGCAAACAGG